GACGAAGGGGGCUAGCGUUGUUCGGAAUUACUGGGCGUAAAGCGCGUGUAGGCGGUUGUUCAAGUCAGGUGUGAAAGCCUUGAGCUCAACUCAAGAAAUGCACUUGAUACUGGAUGACUAGAGGACCGGAGGGGAUAGUGGAAUUCCCAGUGUAGUGGUGAAAUACGUAGAGAUUGGGAAGAACACCAGUGGCGAAGGCGGCUAUCUGGACGGUUUCUGACGCUAAGACGCGAAAGCGUGGGGAGCAAACAGG
rnacentral:rRNA from 1 species